rnacentral:rRNA from 1 species
GUAAUGUCUGGGAAACUGCCUGAUGGAGGGGGGAUAACUACUGGAAACGGUAGCUAAUACCGCAUAACGUCGCAAGACCAAAGAGGGGGACCUUCGGGCCUCUUGCCAUCGGAUGUGCCCAGAUGGGAUUAGCUAGUAGGUGGGGUAAAGGCUCACCUAGGCGACGAUCCCUAGCUGGUCUGAGAGGAUGACCAGCCACACUGGAACUGAGACACGGUCCAGACUCCUACGGGAGGCAGCAUG